UCCUGGCUCAGGAUGAACGCUGGCGGCGUGCUUAACACAUGCAAGUCGAACGAUGAAGCCAGCUUGCUGGUGGAUUAGUGGCGAACGGGUGAGUAACACGUGAGUAACCUGCCCUUGACUCUGGGAUAAGCCUGGGAAACUGGGUCUAAUACCGGAUAUGACUCCUCAUCGCAUGGUGGGGGGUGGAAAGCUUUUUGUGGUUUUGGAUGGACUCGCGGCCUAUCAGCUUGUUGGUGAGGUAAUGGCUCACCAAGGCGACGACGGGUAGCCGGCCUGAGAGGGUGACCGGCCACACUGGGACUGAGACACGGCCCAGACUCCUACGGGAGGCAGCAGUGGGGAAUAUUGCACAAUGGGCGAAAGCCUGAUGCAGCGACGCCGCGUGAGGGAUGACGGCCUUCGGGUUGUAACCU
rnacentral:rRNA from 1 species